CCGCACUAUUAUACAGACGGCGCUGGCGGCGCCGGUAUUUUCGUAUUCAACGCGACAGGUAGAAUACGAAGCUACGGCGUGUUGUUAUUGCUCCGUCUUCAACGGUUGUCGUGCGAGCUGCGUCGAUGUGUUUGUUUGAUCGUGUGUUAUUAGGUUUGCUGUAAUGAAAUGAGACGUAGUUCGCGAGCACGAAAGUGCCAGAAGAUGGCUUGAGUCUCGCUGUAAGCACGCCGUAUGCGUGGCGCGCCAGCUAAAUGUGGACCAACGAUUUUCAUGCCAUGGAGUGCGUUCCCUUUGUCUCCGCUUGUGUUCGUGGAAAGUUUGGUGGACGGCGCAAAGAAGUAAUGCGUAUUAUUAGCGCGCCUCAGCUCGUCCACUACCCAGUGGCUUGUUUGCUGCAAGUAACAUCGCAGACGCAUCACUGGAAACUUGGAGAGUGCCUUUCGACCUCGUCGUACUGUUGAAACGUGGCGAGGCCGUGACCCACAACAUAAACUACAAGAUCGAGGAGCCCCAAGAAAUGCAGACCCUGUGGAUAUAUGGCUGCAGCAGCAUGGCGUGUGAUCUGGAUGGUCAUGACAGGCUCCACCGUCGCCGUUACUAGACGGACCAAAUGAGGCCAAAAACUAGCCUUUCCUCGCUCCAUUCCUGGGAAGUGAAAUAGCAGGUGAUCAUGUAAGAAUGAACUUGCAACCAUGUGGGCAGUAGCCAAAGCUCCCUACAGUUCAUGCUGGUGGUGGAAUGAUAAGACAAACCGCAAUAUUUAUUAGUUUACUUAUUCACUUAAUAUUUAUUUAUUCAUAUCUCAUGAAUACUGUGCAGUUUUUUUAGCAAGGAGUGAGGUAAAAUAAAGAAAUAUUGUUGCAUCAAAGUAAACGUUAUUUGAAAAAGCAUAAUUCCCGUAGCACGAAUUCAUGU